AUACGGAGGGUGCAAGCGUUAAUCGGAAUUACUGGGCGUAAAGCGCCCGUAGGCGGUUUGUUAAGUCGGAUGUGAAAGCCCCGGGCUCAACCUGGGAACUGCAUUCGAUACUGGCAAACUAGAGUAUAGUAGAGGCAAGUGGAAUUCCGGGUGUAGCGGUGAAAUGCGUAGAUAUCCGGAGGAACAUCAGUGGCGAAGGCGACUUGCUGGACUAAUACUGACGCUGAGGAGCGAAAGCGUGGGGAGCAAACGGGAUUAGAAACCCUGGUAGUCC
rnacentral:rRNA from 1 species